CUAGUUUUGGCAGUAUGGUUAUUAAAAUUGGGAUGAUACAGAGAUUAGCAUGGCCUCUAUGUAAGGAUGACAUCCAUAUCUAUGAAGUGUUUCACAUUUUU
ensembl:snRNA U6 U6 spliceosomal RNA